rnacentral:snRNA from 1 species
AUACUUACCUGGCACAGGGGAUACCGUGAUCAUGAAGGCGGUUCCUCCAGGAUGAGGCUCUUCCAUUGCACUUCGGUUGGGCUGACCCCUGCGAUUACCCCUAAUGUGGGUAACUCGGGUGCAUAAUUUUUGGUAGUCGGGACUGCGUUCGCGCAGACCCGGU